GGGGAAUAUUGCACAAUGGGGGAAACCCUGAUGCAGCGACGCCGCGUGAGCGAAGAAGUAUUUCGGUAUGUAAAGCUCUAUCAGCAGGGAAGAAGAAUGACGGUACCUGAGGAGGAAGCCCCGGCUAACUACGUGCCAGCAGCCGCGGUAAUACGUAGGGGGCGAGCGUUAUCCGGAAUUAUUGGGCGUAAAGAGUGCGUAGGUGGCUUUUUAAGCGCGGGGUUUAAGGCAAUGGCUUAACCAUUGUUCGCCCUGCGAACUGGAGAGCUUGAGUGCAGGAGAGGAAAGCGGAAUUCCUAGUGUAGCGGUGAAAUGCGUAGAUAUUAGGAGGAACACCAGUGGCGAAGGCGGCUUUCUGGACUGUUACUGACACUGAGGCACGAAAGUGUGGGGAGCAAACAGGAUUAGAUACCCUGGUAGUCCACACCGUAAACGAUGAGCACUAGGUGUCGGGUGAGCAAUCAUUCGGUGCCGCAGUUAACGCAUUAAGUGCUCCGCCUGGGGAGUACGUACGCAAGUAUGAAACUCAAAGGAAUUGACGGGGACCCGCACAAGCAGCGGAGCAUGUGGUUUAAUUCGAAGCAACGCGAAGAACCUUACCAGGACUUGACAUCCCUCUGACAGAACUUUAAUAGGUUCCUUCUUCGGACAGAGGAGACAGGUGGUGCAUGGUUGUCGUCAGCUCGUGUCGUGAGAUGUUGGGUUAAGUCCCGCAACGAGCGCAACCCUUGCUGUUAGUUGCCAUCAUUAAGUUGGGCACUCUAACGGGACUGCCGGGGAUAACUCGGAGGAAGGUGGGGAUGACGUCAAAUCAUCAUGCCCCUUAUGUUCUGGGCUACACACGUGCUACAAUGGUCGGUACAAAGAGAAGCGAAGUCGUGAGGCGGAGCAAAACUCAAAAGCCGAUCCCAGUUCGGAUUGUAGGCUGCAACUCGCCUACAUGAAGUCGGAGUUGCUAGUAAUCGCGGAUCAGAAUGCCGCGGUGAAUGCGUUCCCG
rnacentral:rRNA from 1 species